UGCGGCUGGAUCCCCUCCUUUCUAGAUAACUCAACGGACAUUGCAGUACCCACAACCUAUCGGUUGUUGCGCAGUCACAGACAGCGGGUCUGUAGCUCAGCUGGUUAGAGCACCGUCUUGAUAAGGCGGGGGUCGUUGGUUCGAACCCAACCAGACCCACCACGUCAAGCGAGCCCGGGCCCCGCGCAGGUGCCGGGGCAAGAAGGGGGCAUAGCUCAGCUGGGAGAGCACCUGCUUUGCAAGCAGGGGGUCGUCGGUUCGAUCCCGUCUGCCUCCACCACCAUCCUGUGAGAUGUAAGGCGUGGAUAGCCGCGUAGCUGUCCACGCCUGACGUCUUACGGCGUCUUGAGGCUGUCAGUUCUUUAACAAUUCGGAAGAAGUAAGGUGUAUCGACUCGGGCGGGCCGGAGGCGCAAGUCUCUCGUUCGAUCGGGGCGAUACAGGGUUGUGUGAUUGUAUCUGUCCGUUCCUGCUUGCGAACCAGCGGCGGGAGCGGCACAAGCGCGAGAAGGGUCGUGUUGUCUAUGACGGAACCUUAUCCUGCCGAGGAUAGGGCUCAAGGUUAUAGGGUCAAGCGACUAAGUGCAUGUGGUGGAUGCCUUGGCGAUCACAGGCGAAGAAGGACGUUGUAGCGUGCGAAAAGCCGCGGGGAGCUCGCAAACAAGCGUUGAUCCGCGGAUGUCCGAAUGGGGAAACCCAG
rnacentral:misc_RNA from 1 species